GAUAAAAUGAUGGGAUCUGAACAUAUUAUUUGGUCUUACCUUGUCUACAUUAUGUCUUCUUGAUUAAAACAAUGCUCUAUUUGUUAUGAACUUAAUACCUUAGAUGUAGGUUGGAUGAUGAUUGAUUGGUGGAGUAAUAGUAGUAGGAGUCAGUGAGGUUAAUAGUCCACUUAAAACAUAUGUAAUGCCUAUGUAUUGAUCAUGGCAUGAACAACGAGAUAGUUAUUUGAUG
rnacentral:lncRNA from 1 species